AAAACAUGCAUCAUUACUGAUAAAUGAAAAAAUUACAAUUAAACGUUUGAGAAAUGUUUGAUAAUGUCAUCCUUAUAUCUCUUUGUAGGUUUGAUUGCUUGGCUCACCUGAAUGUGAAUCCUAAUGCUGAUGUAGGACAAAUGCAGGAUGAAUUCACUGAGAUACUCGCCAAGCGUUACAAAAUUGACCACUAUGAAAUAAAAACAGAUGCUAACUUUAUCUUCAUAUAUCCUCUUGGUUUUUAAUCUUUAGAUGAUCUCUUGCCGGACCCAGACACAAACCCACCCUUAACCGCGACUGAGUCUCUGCCUCGUACAACUGAAACACGAACAACCACAAUUCCUCAGCUGACGUCUACAACUACUGAAAUUAUUACUACUGCAAAAACAACAGGCACAACACCCAAUCAAGUGGCAAUAACAACAGAAGUUGUUUCAUCCUCAACGGAAACAAAAAAAAUCACUACAUCCACACCAUUCAUGGAAACAACCCUGGCAGGAAGUUCCACGACUUUUUUAUCCUCCACAAGAAGUCUUACAUUAAAUACAGCCGCAUGCUCUUCUACUAUUUCAACUGAAGGAAACAUAUCAGAAAGUUAUUUCAGUGUCAAUGUCAAUGUGACUAUCAAUGGCUCUGGUGACCCUGAGAACAUAAUUACAACCUGGCUUCAUGAAACUCUUUCAAGUAAAGGGAUACAUGUUUUGCACUUCAAACUCUUGACUUCCUCAACACAUGCACGAAAACGAAGUGUGGUAACAAAAACAUUCAAAGUGGAUAGAAAGCGGUCUCUGCUUUCAGUAACCAGGUGAGAUGAUCAUUACAAGACAGCAGUUGAAGAAAAGUUAACAAUGGUGAACAAUAAUUGUUGUGAACAUACAAUGUGUUUUAAUGGGGUUAUCUGAUAUGGCUUGUUCCCAGCCAUAGCUGUGGCUUUCAUGCCCAGGUAACAACUUCUUCAGACAUCAGAGAGACAGAAAAAUGGAUUCAUGGGCUUCUGGAGAAACAAUACACCAAUGGAGCAGUACUCUUAUAUGCCCA
rnacentral:lncRNA from 1 species